GCCAGACUCCUACGGGAGGCAGCAGUGGGGAAUAUUGCACAAUGGGGGAAACCCUGAUGCAGCGACGCCGCGUGAGUGAAGAAGUAUUUCGGUAUGUAAAGCUCUAUCAGCAGGGAAGAAAAUGACGGUACCUGAUUAAGAAGCCCCGGCUAACUACGUGCCAGCAGCCGCGGUAAUACGUAGGGGGCAAGCGUUAUCCGGAUUUACUGGGUGUAAAGGGAGCGUAGACGGUGAUGCAAGUCAGAAGUGAAAGCCCGGGGCUCAACUCCGGGACUGCUUUUGAAACUGUGUGACUGGAGUGCAGGAGAGGUAAGCGGAAUUCCUGGUGUAGCGGUGAAAUGCGUAGAUAUCAGGAGGAACACCAGUGGCGAAGGCGGCUUACUGGACUGUAACUGACGUUGAGGCUCGAAAGCGUGGGGAGCAAACAGGAUUAGAUACCCCCGUAA
rnacentral:rRNA from 1 species